rnacentral:rRNA from 1 species
CGGAGAUGGCGACCGGCGCACGGGUGAGUAACACGUAUCCAACCUGCCGAUAAUCGGGGAGUAGCCUUUCGAAAGAAAGAUUAAUACCCGAUGGUAUAAUCAGACCGCAUGGUUUGAUUAUUAAAGAAUUUCGGUUAUCGAUGGGGAUGCGUUCCAUUAGGCAGUUGGUGAGGUAACGGCUCACCAAACCUUCGAUGGAUAGGGGUUCUGAGAGGAAGGUCCCCCACAUUGGAACUGAGACACGGUCCAA